rnacentral:rRNA from 1 species
UGGGGAAUUUUGGACAAUGGGCGAAAGCCUGAUCCAGCAAUGCCGCGUGUGUGAAGAAGGCCUUCGGGUUGUAAAGCACUUUUGUCCGGAAAGAAAUCCUUGGCUCUAAUACAGUCGGGGGAUGACGGUACCGGAAGAAUAAGCACCGGCUAACUACGUGCCAGCAGCCGCGGUAAUACGUAGGGUGCAAGCGUUAAUCGGAAUUACUGGGCGUAAAGCGUGCGCAGGCGGUUUGCUAAGACCGAUGUGAAAUCCCCGGGCUCAACCUGGGAACUGCAUUGGUGACUGGCAGGCUAGAGUAUGGCAGAGGGGGGUAGAAUUCCACGUGUAGCAGUGAAAUGCGUAGAGAUGUGGAGGAAUACCGAUGGCGAAGGCAGCCCCCUGGGCCAAUACUGACGCUCAUGCACGAAAAGCGUGGGGAGCAAAACAGGAUUAGAUACCCUGGUAGUCCACGCCCUAAACGAUGUCAACUAGUUGUUGGGGAUUCAUUUCCUUAGUAACGUAGCUAACGCGUGAAGUUGACCGCCUGGGGAGUACGGUCGAAGAUUAAAACUCAAAUGAAUUGACGGGGUC